CACCAAACUCUGUUGCAAUGCAAGUGAGUGUGAUGUGAUAAAUUCAGCAUUAUGACGUCACUUCGUGAUCAUCAACAGAAGAUGGGUCUGUCCAGUGAAGAUGCUGUGUGAGGCUGCUUUGAGAUGCUAACAGGGAGAAGAAGUGGGUGACAGUUGGCGACACAUCCCUAAGGAUUUACAAAUGGGUACCAGUAACAGAGCCUAAAGUCGAUGAUAAAAAUAAGAAUAAGAAAAAAGGCAAAGAUGAAAAAUGUGGCUCUGAAGUGACCACUCCAGAGAACAGCUCCUCUCCAGGAAUGAUGGACAUGCAUGAUGACAAUAGCAACCAGAGUUCAAUAGCAGAUGCUUCUCCAAUAAAACAAGAAAACAGUAGUAAUUCAAGUCCAGCACCAGAACAGAACUUGGCAACACAAGCAGAUGGCACUGAAGUAAAGUCUGAUGAAACUCAGACAGAAGCAAAGGAGCAGCCUGGUUCAGAAGAUACCUCUGAUGAACAGAAUUCACAGUCUUCAAUGGAAAAUUCCAUGAAUAGUUCAGAGAAAGCAGAAGUUCAGUCCUCUGGAGAAAAUGAUAUAAUUACAGAGGCAUCUAAAAACUCUCAGGUAACUUUAAGUGCAAAAGCCCAGUUACUUGGAAUUUGGAAAAGAGUAUUUUUACCAAAAAGCAGAUGUAAGGAGGCCAGUUGUGUACUUAGACUCAUUUCCAAAGGUGAGGACAGUAAAGCAGCUGUAGAGUAUUAAGUGUACAUGUAUCUGGUUCUGUCGUUAAUUUGAUUGGCUUCUUGCAUUUCACAUAAUUUGAACAGUAAGACUAGAUUGGUCUGAUUUAUUUUUCAUUUUCCUAAACCAGUCUGUGUUAGUUUUGUAAGGGAAUAUUAAAAUUUCAUGUUAAUAAAUUGUUUGGACCUAACCUACUGGACAGGCCCCUUUGAGGAGCAUUCAGAAAUAAAAUACCUUCUGUAAAAGUAAAUGCAUAUAGCAGUUAGGAAGGUUAAUUUUUUUAGAUUCAGUGGGUGAGAUGUUUGGACUCUUACUCACUGGUAUAGUGAAAAAUUCUGUGUGGGUGGGAGAAAGAAAUUAGCCUUGCAGUUGUCCCCCUCCACCAAGAUCCUCAGGCAGAGCACUGCUCAGUCCAUUGGUUUUCCUUGUGGGUGGUUGGCUUGUUUCAGUGCACACCUUGUGCUUUCCAAACCUUGCGUGUUCUGUCCUGUAGAGAUUGCUUUGGCUACAGCAGGAGAAAAUUCGUGUGCACUUGGUGCGGGUUGUGCUCGAGUGUGGAGCUGAGGGAAGUCCAGGUAUUAACCAUGCAUCAAGGCUGUUGCUUGGAAUAUUCACUGUGGUUUUUAGCCUGGAACUAGAAUUUUGCCCUUUGUCGGUAGACAACAACAAGUGUAAAGAUGUUGAGGUAAGAUGUAAGUAGAGGACUGAUUUCAGGAAGCAAAUGCACUCGGUCAUGUCAUUCUCGCAUCCAGGGAUGCUUUGUAUUUUACAAAUGACACACCAGGGAAUUUGUUCAUGUUUUUUGUUUGAUGUUUAUGGUGCCUGAAAUUCAGUGCAAUGAUAACGUGGUUGUUUUUCUUUUCCCCCUCAUUAAGGACUCUGAAGGAGUGCCACCUUCUAAAAAGAUGAAAGUAGAGGCUUCCCAACAAAAUGUUGAAGAGAUUUAGACUAUAGAUUUUUCUGGUCAGUUUUUAUGUAAGGUACAUCAGUGGGCUUAAUUAUAGAACAACCUUACUUAAGCAUCUUCUCUUGGAUGAGGACAGAACUCCUAACUUUUCAAGUUACCAAGCAAAAAUCCAAGAAAGCCUAACAAAGGUUUAACUUCUCAGACACUGAAAACUUUUUCCUGUGAAACAAAACAUUGAGAACUUUUAAGUUACUGUCUCUGAAAUGGUUGGAGUAAACAACUCAGGAGGGGUCUACGCACUGUUUCUAAAGUCAAAAUUACAAUUAUGUUGCUGCUGUAUUUUUUUUUUUUUCAUUUCUCUAUUUAACAUUGUAAGAUAUUUAAGGAUGGUACAGGUCAGGUAUUAGCUUUCAUGUGAAGUUCAUUGUUCUGGCGUGAUGUCUGCUUUUGUUUUGUGCCUUGUGUUCUGAAAACAGUGCUAACUUUUAAAAGUUGUUUUGCAACUGUCUCCUUUGCAAAGUGGCCUAUGUAUAACGCCAUGUAGUAAGGCUUUUUUUUUUUCUUUUUUGUUUGGGGUUUUUGUUCUGUUUUUAAUUUUUAAAUCCCUGGUGCUUAAAUUUUUAACAAAUACAGAUCAGGAAGCCAUUUUCACUCUUGGAGUCCAAGGAGAAAAAGGAGCUUGAUAUUUUAUUUUAGCAGCUAUAGUGGAGAUCUUUUAUUGAAUGCAUGGCAUUCGCAACUGUAAAUUUGGUCUUCUAAAUACUUAACUUCAUCAGAAGUUAACAUGAUCUGUUUACCAUUUAUAGUCCAGAUCUGAAUAUAUACUAUAACACAGCAGUUAAAAUACUUACGUAUUAGGUCCAGAUCUCUGUACUGGGUACAACUUGCUUUACAGAAAAGUUCCACUAUGUACAUAAAUAGGAUCAAAGGGAUUGAUGCACAGUGAAUUUAUUUUCAAUUGGUCUUUUUUGAUACCGUGUUUUCAUUGAACUGGAUUUCGUUGUACUGUUUCUUUAUAAGAUGUUUACUUCUAUGUUCCAGGUUAAUACUGUAUUUGGGGUUUCUUUUUUUUCUUUCAGCAAGUCUUGUAAAUAAGCCUUGUUUCCAUAGUCCCUACAUCAUUGUUAGAAAUGUUCCUUCUUUUACAAUUAUGUUGAAGUGUGCUUAUGCUAAACUUGAUUGAAAGGCACGAAGUAUGUGCAACUCCCUUCAAAUUUGUGGCAUGUAGAAGUGCAGAACCAUCUGCAUCAGGGCACAAGGGCCUGAUCUUACAGUGGGCUUUGUACUUCCAGGGUGAGCUCCCAGUUGCAAAUAGCUGGUGUCGGUGGGAACUGCUUAUUUCUCACCUCAGUACACGCACACGUGUGUACAUACAUACGUACAUAUUGCUGGAUUGGGCCCUUAGUCUGUCUUCACUUUGUGUGAGAGAUGGAACUUGUAAUUUAAAAUAUGAUCUCACAGCUAUGAAAAUGGUUGCAUAUAGUUUGUAAGCUAGGAACUGUAAAUACUUUUUUAAAUGAAAAAAAAAUUGCUUCCAGUUGAUACAUUUUCAUAAUUAGCUCUUCAUUAAGCUUAUUUAUUUCUGAAUUCUCCAAUAGUGAAAAUGGCUUGCACUUAGACUACUGCAUUGCGUUUGCAAUUACCACUUUAUUAUGAAAAACAAUGGGGAAGUGGGGGGAGGGAAUAGGGAGGGAGGAGUGGGGAGCCUAUACUGACCUUCCAUAAGAUGUUUGUAGGAUUGAACUCCAAAUAACGUAUGACACUCAGUUUCGGAACCUUAUGUUGAAAUAAAACUUUUUGGAUUUUAACUGAAUAAAAUUUGCAAAUCAUUCAUGAAAACAGUGUGCUCCCUAGUAAGUUUCUGGGAUUUCUGGUCUGAUCAUGAAGUCCAUUAACAUUCUGAAAAUAAAGAAAUGAGGAGCCAAAAACUAUAUUUGCACAAUAUAUGCAAUGAAACGGUAGAAUUCUCUCUUGAAUUGUGUGUAUGCCUAAAAUGUGGAUAACUGGUCAAUGACGAUUGAUUUGUAUGUAUAUUACAUUCAGAUUUAAGUGAUAUUUUGUGAGAAGUUCUAUUGAUAUAUUAAAUGGGCAAAUCUAGAAAGAUUCAAACUUAAAAAUAUUUUUGAUUUACUAACUUUUUGUUCUUUUUAAUGCUAAAACAAAACAAAUCUGAUGCCACCUUUGACAAGUAGUCAUGUUUACUAAUCCCUAUCUUCAGGUGCAUCGCAGCAAGUUUUUAAUUUUAAUUUUGUAGGUGUUUCCAAGGGAGUAAAUAGACUUUUUGUUUAGAAACUAAUUCCUGUACUUUAGGGAAGAAAUAAAAUAUAUAAAUAGCACUAAAAAUACCUCAAAUUUUUCAUUAGAUAGAAGCAUUUAUUGGCAUUAUUGACAUCAACAGGUUUAACUAUAAACUUCCUUUUCUCUCCUGUGGCUUCUGCUCAGAACUGUUCAUUGUUCUGUGGCUUACAAGACAAGGCAUCAUAACCAUAUUCCUAGAGGCUUUAUUUCUAAAGUAGUAAUGCUUUAUUUACAGCUUAUACAGAAUACAUUCAGAACUUUUUUUUUUUAACCAGAGAUUCUAGUGACAACAGACAACUGAACAAGCAGAUAGAUUUGGGUUCCUUAGACCUGUUAUUGUCAGUCUCUAAGGGAAGAGACUUUGACAUUAUCUGGUAUGAAGAAAUCCAAAAUAGUGUAUAAGACUGUUAUUAGUCUUUUUUUGAAGUGCCUGAUAACAUUUAUGGGCCAACGGAUGUGAUUAAACACAUUUUAAUGCCAGAAAGUACAGAUGGGACCAAACCAGAACAUCGAAUUCAAAUCAACCUGAGGUUUGAAACCAGAUCUAAAUCCAGCUUUUUUUGGCUUGGACCUAUCUCUACCAGAAACUUGUUUUAUGAACUCACUGUAAAAGGGUUUAUUGAAAGCAUUGAGACGUGGAGCAGACGGAGAGAUGUAAUUUUUUUCAAGAUGACUGAAAGUUCUCAUACAGCUAAUGUUUUAGAAGUAGUGCAAAUAUCAAGAAGUGCUUCCUUGCUACAAUGCUGAAUGUUGGAGCUUCAGUUACAAAUAAAUACAAAAAAAGAAAGGAAAACAAAAAGAAAAAAAAAAAAGAAACUAGAAGCAAGCAAGUAAAUUAGCUGAGUUUGUGGAACAUGUGGGAAGGCCUUCUGAAUAAGCGAUUUACUCAGCCAAACAUUUUAUAGCAGAACUAUUCCUUGGAAUUUUUAUGCUUGGGAAAGUAGUUGUUAAACAUUCCAAAAAGUGCUGGCACUUACAAAACAACAAAAAAUAAUCAACAAGGCAGUAUAAAAUAUUGGUUUUGGGUGGCUAUCUUCAUACAUAAACAUUGUCAUGUUUUGGAAUGUUCUUUAUAUCUAAGGGCCUGUUAGAAGGUGUAAAGAAUUUUGUUUUCUUCAAUACCUAAUCGUUUUCCAUCUUAUGAUUUGUGUGUGUGUGUUGUACAGCAGUAUAAUUUUUCACUUAUUUAUUCCAUCGGUAGUUAUGGUUUGUACAAUGUACAAUGGUUUCAUUUCAAAAAUAAAAUAAAAAAUCACAACA